UACGAAGGGGGCUAGCGUUUGUUCGGAAUUACUGGGCGUAAAGCGCACGUAGGCGGACUCGAUCAGUCAGGGGUGAAAUCCCAGAGCUCAACUCUGGAACUGCCUUUGAUACUGUCGAUCUAGAGUAUGGAAGAGGUGAGUGGAAUUCCGAGUGUAGAGGUGAAAUUCGUAGAUAUUCGCAAGAACACCAGUGGCGAAGGCGGCUCACUGGCCCGAUACUGACGCUGAGGUGCGAAAAGCGUGGGGGAGCAAACA
rnacentral:rRNA from 1 species